rnacentral:lncRNA from 1 species
CGCCUGGUUCCUACAUGUUUUGUUAUCAGAUCGAUUACUGGAAGCCCAGGAGAAGUUCUCAAGAGCAUCAUGCGCCACUUUACGUUUCUCGUCCUUCUUGGACUUUUCAUCGGCACACAAGCAGCCAGCUUUCAGGACCUUCUUGACGCAUUGAACACUACUGAGAAGUCUUGGCUGACGAAGCGAACAUACACCUACAAUGGGCAUACCUGCGUCUACAGCCUAAAAAAAGAGCUCACUC